GUAAAUGUGAAAACCAAAGGGAUGGAGUGAGAAUAUAGAGUGAGAGGGAGUGGGGGGCUCUUAAGUCCGUUUGUUCUGGGCUUGAAUCCCACCUGUGGAAUUUACAUAUAGCAUGUGACCCUCAGCCUCAGCUUACACUCUCUAAAAUGGGGGUGGUAGGCUCUGUCUCGCAGGGUUAUGAAGAAUCAAGGAAACGGUGUUUGCACGAGAGCUAGCAGUGGCAGAACACAGAAUGCCGUCUUCAAACUCAAAGAGGCUCCAAAAAUAAGGAUCUGAAUAGGAUAGUGAGGGGCCUAGAAAUGCCCUGUGAGGAAAGGAGUAAGAGACCCAGUCUCUGAAGAGUGGCCACAGAGGAGGGAGGACUGACGUGAAGCCAUCUGAAGAGUGGCCACGGAGGAGGGAGAACCGACAUGAAGCCAUCUGAAGAGUGGCCACGGAGGAGGGAGGACCGACAUGAAGCCAUCUGAAGAGUGGCCACGGAGGAGGGAGGACCGACAUGAAGCCAUCUGAAGAGUGGCCACGGAGGAGGGAGGACCGACGUGAAUCCAUCUGAAGAGUGGCCACGGAGGAGGGAGGACCGACGUGAAUCCAUCUGAAGAGAGGCCACGGAGGAGGGAGGACCGACAUGAAGCCAUCUGAAGAGUGGCCACGGAGGAGGGAGGACCGACGUGAAUCCAUCUGAAGAGUGGCCACGGAGGAGGGAGGACCGAUGUGAAUCCAUCUGAAGAGAGGCCACGGAGGAGGGAGGACCGACAUGAAUCCAUGUGAAGAGUGGCCACGGAGGAGGGAGAACCGACAUGAAGCCAUCUGAAGAGUGGCCACGGAGGAGGGAGGACCGACAUGAAGCCAUCUGAAGAGUGGCCACCGAGGAGGGAGGACCGACGUGAAGCCAUCUGAAGAGUGGCCACGGAGGAGGGAGGACCGACAUGAAUCCAUGUGAAGAGUGGCCACUGAGGAGGGAGGACCGACAUGAAUCCAUGUGAAGAGUGGCCACUGAGGAGGGAGGACCGACGUGAAGCCAUCUGAAGAGUGGCCACGGAGGAGGGAGGACUGACGUGAAUCCAUCUGAAGAGUGGCCACGGAGGAGGGAGGACUGACGUGAAUCCAUCUGAAGAGUGGCCACGGAGGAGGGAGGACUGACGUGAAUCCAUCUGAAGAGUGGCCACGGAGGAGGGAGAACCGACAUGAAGCCAUCUGAAGAGUGGCCACGGAGGAGGGAGGACCGACAUGAAGCCAUCUGAAGAGUGGCCACGGAGGAGGGAGGACCGACAUGAAGCCAUCUGAAGAGUGGCCACGGAGGAGGGAGGACUGACGUGAAUCCAUCUGAAGAGUGACCAUGGAGCAGGGAGGACCGAUGUGAAGCCAUCUGAAGAGUGACCAUGGAGGAGGGAGGACUGACGUGAAUCCAGCAUGUGAGCCCGGGAGAUGGCACAUCCAGAACCAGUGGGUGCAAGGCCCAGGGCAGCCGAAGUCUUCUCCACCUAAGGGGUUUCGGCAGAGUUGUCUAAAACUCAAUACUCCGCCUUACUACAGACCGUGUUCCCCACCAGAAGAACUGAGCUCACUUACGCAGUCAACAAAUACCACCUAUGGGCUGUCCCCACUUGGAUGUUGGCUGGGCUCCACAACUUCAUAGGUCCUGAACAAGAUGCUUGAUUUCCCUCUUCGAACCUGUCUUCCUCACUGCAGUCUGUGCUACGACCAUCCACUCCAUAGCGGAAGCCCAAACCCGCUAGUAGCCUCAAUUUCUUCCCUCGCCUCGUAUCACACCCCUCCCAUCCCAUUCAUGAACAAACUCUAUAGAUUCUCUCUCCAGAUAUGUCUCACAUCCCUCCACUUCUUUUGUCUCUGCAGCCCUCAGUGCAAGCGCCUGCCCCCUCCCACCUGGCUUCCUGCAGGAACCACCCAGCUUGCCUCCUUGCUUCCUGUCUCACUCCACCUAGUCC
rnacentral:lncRNA from 1 species